rnacentral:rRNA from 1 species
AACGAACGCUGGCGGCAUGCCUAACACAUGCAAGUCGAACGAGACCUUCGGGUCUAGUGGCGCAAGGGUGCGUAACGCGUGGGAACCUGCCCUUAGGUUCGGAAUAACUCCCCGAAAGGGGUGCUAAUACCGGAUAAUGUCUUCGGACCAAAGAUUUAUCGCCUUUGGAUGGGCCCGCGUUGGAUUAGCUAGUUGGUAGGGUAAAAGCCGACCAAGGCGACGAUCCAUAGCUGGUCUGAGAGGAUGAUCAGCCACACUGGGACUGAGACACGGCCCAGACCCCUACGGGAGGCAGCAGUGGGGAAUAUUGGACGAGGGGCGAAAGCCUGAUCAAGCAGUGCCGCGUGAGUGAUGAAGGCCUUAGGGUUGUAAAGCUCUUUUACCCGGGAUGAUAAUGACAGUACCGGGAGAAUAAGCUCCGGCUAACUCCGUG